AUGGCCCUGAGUCAAGGCCAGUAGUUUUCUGAAGUCACUGGUUUCAAGCAGGAGUCUAAGGUGGUAUCUUUCUAUGGUCUGUUGGCCAUUUCAGAAAUUCAGAAAUGUUACAGUCAAAUCAUUAGAGAGAAACAACU
ensembl:snoRNA small nucleolar RNA SNORA2/SNORA34 family